rnacentral:rRNA from 1 species
GUGGGGAAUUUUGGACAAUGGGGGCAACCCUGAUCCAGCCAUGCCGCGUGCGGGAAGAAGGCCUUCGGGUUGUAAACCGCUUUUGGUCGGGAAGAAAGGGUUACUCCUAAUAGGGGUGACUGUUGACGGUACCGGCAGAAUAAGCACCGGCUAACUACGUGCCAGCAGCCGCGGUAAUACGUAGGGUGCGAGCGUUAAUCGGAAUUACUGGGCGUAAAGCGUGCGCAGGCGGUUGGUUAAGUCUGAUGUGAAAGCCCCGGGCUCAACUUGGGAAUGGCAUUGGAAACUGGCUGGCUAGAGUGUGGCAGAGGGGGGUGGAAUUCCGCGUGUAGCAGUGAAAUGCGUAGAGAUGCGGAGGAACACCGAUGGCGAAGGCAGCCCCCUGGGCUGACACUGACGCUCAGGCACGAAAGCGUGGGGAGCAAACAGGAUUAGAUACCCUAGUAGUCC